rnacentral:rRNA from 1 species
UGGGGAAUUUGGACAAUGGGCGAAAGCCUGAUCCAGCAAUGCCGCGUGUGUGAAGAAGGCCUUCGGGUUGUAAAGCACUUUUGUCCGGAAAAGAAAUCCUUGGCUCUAAUACAGUCGGGGGAUGACGGUACCGGAAGAAUAAGCACCGGCUAACUACGUGCCAGCAGCCGCGGUAAUACGUAGGGUGCAAGCGUUAAUCGGAAUUACUGGGCGUAAAGCGUGCGCAGGCGGUUUGCUAAGACCGAAUGUGAAAUCCCCGGGCUCAACCUGGGAACUGCAUUGGUGACUGGCAGGCUAGAGUAUGGCAGAGGGGGUGAGAAUUCCACGUGUAGCAGUGAAAUGCGUAGAGAUGUGGAGGAAUACCGAUGGCGAAGGCAGCCCC